GGUGCUCCCCAUGACUGUCAGCGCUCCACGACACCGGGAUUUACAUUCAUGCCACUAGAGGAGGGUUAAGUUUAGGAAAUCCCUUGUUGGCUCGUAAGUUGAAAUAAAACCUUAGGAAGCUUUUAUGCAAGUGAUAGUAAAAAAGAGUUUUAUUCCUUAGAUUUGGGGGAUUUUUCUGUGUUGGUCCUCGGAAGGUUGUCUUGUCAGAAAACCCAGUGUCCGCUUUUGACCACACAGAUGUUAUCAGAAUGUGUGUCCUGCGGUUUCUCCCAAGCUUAUAGGAAACAAGGACCAGGCUCUUCACUGCAUGUGAAGGUUGAAGAUAGAGUCACAAGGUUUUAUACUGGGACCAUGUCACCAUCCCUGCAGUAACUGUUACUUAAAGUUGUUACGAGCUUCAGCGGAGCCGAGGGGCUUAGAAAAGGCCCAUAAUGUCAGCACCCGGCUCUUACUGAGGGUCCCAGAGUCUCUUCCUGUUGCUAACUACUCUGCCGUCCUCGUGAGCCGCUGUGUCGUAGCCACCCCGCGUGGACACUGGUGUUAACUGUCUGCCACCGUCAAGCUCACAGAAUUUGUCUUUCGGGUCUUGUAAGUUACUUUGAAAGGUAAAACCUCCGUGAAAUAUAUACGAUUUCAUUUUAAAAUGGAAAACGGAAAUAUAUGAAGGUUUGUACUUUGACGGCAGUAAAGUACCGUCUCUGGAAUCCGGCGGACCUGGGUUUGAGUCCUGGCUACAACUCUUGUUCUCUUACCGGUUCUGUUUCCACCCCCACCCGUGUGACACCGGCCGAGCACCUGUGUCACCCGUGUGACACUGAUCACGCGGAGCUGGUGUCAGAGCCUGCGAGGCUGCCACCAGGACCCUCGCGCUGCUGACCGGCCAGCUACAGGUGAACCCUCAGGUUCAGUAAUUCGCCACGACAGUUAAAGGAAUGCAGGAAAGCACCGUACAGUUGACCCUUAAACAACACAGGUUUGAAUUACGUGGGUCCACUUACACGCGGCUUUUUCUCGUGAACACGGUGCAGUCCUAUAAACGUAUUUUCCUUAUGGCCUCCGUAAUGUUUUUGUUCUCUGCUGUACUUUAUGGUAAGAAUACAGCAUAUAACACAGAGAACGUGCAUACCGUGUGUUAAUUUUUACGUUACCGGUAAGGCUUCCAGUCAACAGUAGCCACUAGUAGUGUUUUGGGGAAUCAGAAGUUACACAAGACUUUUGAGUGCGCGGGGCUGGGGAAAGGGGGCAGUCGGUGCCCCUAACGCCCACGCUGUUCAAGGCUCACUGUACUUGAGUUGCUGUUUAUUGUGAAGGAUGCACACAAGGCCAGGUGUGAGGGGCAGUGCAGACGUCGGGGGCCCUCUCCCCUUGGAGCCAGGGCACACGCCAGCCUGGGAGACCGGUGUGCUCGUCAGCAGGACGCUCCCAAACUCUGCCGCCCAGAGCUUCCCUUGGGGUUUUAUGCCUUAGUCACUGUUGGUCGAUGGCCGCGCGAUUGAACCGUCUCCCCAGAGUUGUGUCUCCCACUUCUACCCUCUAACCACGGGCUUGGUCUUUCUGACAACUGGCCCAUCCUGAAGUUACUAUCUUGGGCCGACCUUGAGUUGGUCAUUAGCGUAGCAAAGACUCCCGUCCCUGGGGAAUGGCGAGGCUAUUUGAAGCUUUCUGACAGGAACCGAGGACAAAGAGCAGAAGCCUUCUUGGUUACACCACCUCCGCUCUGGGCACACGUUACUUCCAGGAUAAUGACGCCAGUUGGCAGGAUGGUCGUAAAGGGCAGUGUGUCUCCCACGGCGUGUGGCAAGGAGCUGUUCAGUAACUACUGCCUCUUGCCAAGAGCACGUUUGGUGACAGCCAGGGUGGCGGUCCCGAGGUCCUACACUCACAGCUGUCCCCGGGGGAAUCUGGAAAACCUCACAGAUCUCUGUGCGGAAUCACACCCUGCGUUUUCUGGUAGACGCAGAGUUUUUCUGAGAGAUUUCGAGAAGACACCGUAGUCUGCGAUAAGCCAUCCUGUCUUCACCUGGCACUCGCCGUUUUCGUGUUUGGUGAUCGUAAACACAUAUCUUUAGCUUAGUCUCUGUGGACUAGAAUGUAACAGGUCCCUCCGUGUCCCUGGGUUUUACGUGAAUCCUCGCCUCAAACAGUGCAGGUGCGUGUCCUUUCCCGGUCACUGUUCACCUCUGAAUUCUCUGAAUUCUCGACAGCUCUCUGGAUUCUUAGCUGCGAAAGCCCGGGCUGAGUACAGUAGCCUGUGCUGACUUUAGCCAUGGUGAGGGAGACAGGAACACGGUGGGUACCUGUGUCUUGUCCCUUCCGGUGUCCCUGAACCUGUUUCCUCCGCUCUGCCCCUCCCCUGUCCCCUUAUCCGCGGAAGAGAUCCCGCUGCCUUGCUGCCUACAGAAAUCCAAUAACAGCCCCGUGGGUCAUCCGUGUCACCUGUGCGCGUGCCUGUGGCGGUUCUCUUCCCUAGUGCGCUGUCCUGCAACAUUCUGUUUGUGACUUGUUUUCUCCCCGCUUCCAGAAAUCUCUUCCCACCUGAUGGCUUUGGCCACAUGACAAACUACCACCAUACUCAGCGGCUUCAAAUCACCAUUUUUGCUCUGACCCACAAUUUUGUGGGUCGGGGACUCCGGAAGGGCUUGUCCAGAGGUUCCUCUCCGAUCCCGGUGCCAUCAGCUGGAGUGGCAGGGCCAGAGGACCGUCUCCGCGGUGACGCUUCGGCAUCUCCGUCCCCUCCUCACAGAGCGUCCCCUCUCCAGGCCUCUCCUGGUGGCGUGGGCUCCCGCUGGCGGGAUCCCGCAUCCUCGUUCUCACGUGACCGCAGGGUUCCAGGAGCCGAGGGUGGAGGCUGCCAUUCCUGCUAGAGGCGGCGCCCGGGGGACAGCAUGGGGGAGGCUGAGGUUCCGGGGCAGGGACGCAGGGCACGAACACCUGCGGCCGCUCUGACUCUUCGCACACAGGCUUCUUUCCUGACGCGCUCUGUGAUCGCACAAGGUGUAGCUCCACCUUUCCGUUUGUGUUGAAGACCCACCGGUCAGCCUCGGAACCCCCACCACCACUCCAAAACCCCAUCAGGGAGAUGGGAGGCUGGCAUCCCAAAAGACUGUCUCCAAAGUGCUGAGCAAAGGUCCAGGUUCAGAAAGGAAAGCGUGGGACAAAGUUGGUGGGCACUGAAAGUUCCAGCAAGGAGUGCAUGCACGGCCUGCCUUGGAGUUCCUGCGCCAGCCCCAUUCGGGACUGUCCUCCGUGUCCCUUCUCCACUGUCUCAGAACCUCCUCAGACAGCGUUCUUAUUUUUGCCUCAGCUGUGGAAUGAAAUUUUUUUGAAGUUUGUGUGUUUGUUUGUUUGUUUAUUUUGAGAGAG